AUUGAACGCUGGCGGCAGGCCUAACACAUGCAAGUCGAACGAGUGGCGGACGGGUGUGUAAUGUCUGGGAAACAGCCUGAUGGAGGGGGAUAACUACUGGAACCGGUAGCUAAUACCGCAUACCAUCAGAUGUGCCCAGAUGGGAUUAGCUAGUUGGUGGGGUAACGGCUAACCAAGGCGACGAUCCCUAGCUGGUCUGAGAGGAUGACCGGCCACAUUGGAACGUAGACACGGUCCAGACGCCUACGGGAGGCAGCAGUGGGGAAUAUUGCACAAUGGGCGCAAGCCUGAUGCAGCAAUGCCGCGUGUAUGAAGAAGGCCUUCGGGUUGUAAAGUACUUUCAGCGGGGAGGCGUUACCCGAAGAAGAAGCACCGGCUAACUCCGUGCCAGCAGCCGCGGUAAUUC
rnacentral:rRNA from 1 species